UUGAACGAAUAGAAACACCACGAAAUUGAAGCACGAACAUUUGUCGCCUCUCUAAACUUCGGCCGAAAAGUCACCUGGGCCGGAAGGAUUAGGAAGGUGUUUGCGGCUCAAUUGAUCUUUUUGAAUGAAAUUGCCACUGCUCGACUAAACUAGUGUCGGAAGGGUUAGGAAGGACGUUGCUCGUUAUUUUUGCCACUCAAAAGUUUUUGUCACUGAUCAAUUUUGCCAUUCACCUCGAGAAAAAAAAAUUACCACCGUCGGUCGAUCGAGCUAUUCUUUGAAAACAUGCCCAUAUGGGUAAAGAUGGAGAAUUCAUCAAUUAAGAGUUGUAGGAUGGAAAGAUGUCGAUAAAGCAUAUAGUGUUCCAGAUGAUAUUUUAACUAAAAGCUUUGGGGACACCUGAACAUCGAGACAUGUGAGAGGGGAGACCAUGUAGUCUUGUUGUUGGACAAGUAGACAACACUGUUGCAAUAGGAACUAUUUUUGAAAGAAUAAGUACGGAUGAACUAGUUUAUAGAGUAAGACUUGAAGUAGGUGAUAUAUGGGUUUUCGUUGAACUUGCAUGUGAUAGUCAUUCUCUUUUGCCCAUACCUAUUAUUGGAAUCAUCUAUUCUGUACACGACGCAAUUGGUUCACACGUUCCAUGGCCAAAACAUCUUACA